AGGACAGGAGCAGAGCGGCCGAGCACCUGCGCCGGGCCCUGCGCUACCUGGAGAGCCCACAGGAGCCCCUGCGAGAGGCGGCCGUCAGGUUCAUGGGCAUCGCCGGGGUGCUCCUCAUCGGGCAGCCAGGAGAGCUCCAGGUCAUCUGUGAGGCCCUUCAAGCCCUGAGGAGAGAUGACAACCCUUCACAGACAAACAUGGUUGUUCAACAGAUACUCAGUAAAAAAGCUGCAGAAAUGGCUCAGAAGAACCAGUAUUUCUUUAAGACCUCCAAAUGCAAUGGAAGAUGAGACUACCCUGAGAUCAGAAGAGACCAGCUGGAGCUCCAGACACAGCUGAUGAUUGGCACACCUGAACCUGCAGGAAACUUGCAUUGCUUCACCCCUCUCCCUGCUUAUAGAUAGCUCCCUCCCACCAGCCCUCAGCCUCUGCCCAGCCCUUCUUUUUCCCUCCACUCUCCCUCCCUGUGGACAACUCUUUCCCUUUAGCCCACAGCCUCUGCCCAGCCCUUCUUUUUCCCUCCACUCUCCCUCCCUGUGGACAACU